rnacentral:rRNA from 1 species
GCGCGAAACCUCUGCAAUAGGCGAAAGCUUGACAGGGUUACUCUGAGUGAUUUCCGUUAAGGAGAUCUUUUGGCACCUCUAAAAAUGGUGCAGAAUAAGGGGUGGGCAAGUCUGGUGUCAGCCGCCGCGGUAAUACCAGCACCCCGAGUGGUCGGGACGUUUAUUGGGCCUAAAGCAUCCGUAGCCGGUUCUACAAGUCUUCCGUUAAAUCCACCUGCUUAACAGAUGGGCUGCGGAAGAUACUAUAGAGCUAGGAGGCGGGAGAGGCAAGCGGUACUCAGUGGGUAGGGGUAAAAUCCGUUGAUCCACUGAAGACCACCAGUGGCGAAGGCGGCUUGCCAGAACGCGCUCGACGGUGAGGGAUGAAAGCUGGGGGAGCAAACCGGAUUAGAUACCCGGGUAGUCCCAGCUGUAAACGAUGCAGACUCGGUGAUGAGUUGGCUUAUUGCUAACUCAGUGCCGCAGGGAAGCCGUUAAGUUUGCCGCCUGGGGAGUACGGUCGCAAGACUGAAACUUAA